AUUCUUCAGUGCCUCUAGUCCAUUAAUCACUUGCUUAGUUUUGGCAAUGAUUUCAUCUUGAGUGAGCUUCUCCAACUUCUCUUCCUUUAGAUACACCAUUGUGGACAUGUUUUCAUACAUUCGCUCGGUGCUGCAGGCUCGGAUGUGCGCAGCGCUCGCUGAGGCGGCGGGGGCCGCGCAGCCCGGAGAGAGGAGGCGGCCGGAGGAGGAUGUCAGCG
rnacentral:lncRNA from 1 species